ACCUCUGUAAUGCACUUGGCAAUGAGCUGAUGCUCUUUAGUGGUAGUUGUGACGCCUCUCAGAAAUCUGACUUUACUAAAGUGGUAUUGAUGGGCCAAGGGCUUGGGUGCUCCUCAGUGACCUUGAUGAUGAAUUACAUCUGGGAUCCAGUGAGUGGAACAGACAGGUUCUUUAGCUGAGGAACAAAGCCCAGGCCUGUUCUUCAUCACUUAGCACCAGCUGGGAUCCCUUGUUGCCAGGCUGGCAGCUGUGAGGGAUCACUUGGCCACCAGGAAGACUUCCCAGCUGGGACUGUUCUGAAGAUUUGUGCCAGAGAAACUACAUCUGUGUUCCUUGUUCUGAAGAGGAGAAACAGUAAAAAAUUUGCCAAGGACCCAAGAUAGAAGACUGUGGGCCCAGAUCCUAAUGUAAAAGAAGCCUGCCUCAACUUAAUUUUCCUGGACAGCAAGAGCUAUGAAAAUGAACUGGGUGAAUAUUGGUGUUUUCAGCUUGAGGUUCCAAUGAAUUAGGACAAUCAGAAGGAAGAGUUUAAUUUUGGGGUCUAGCAUGAGACCAUUCAGUUCAAACUUUCAUUUCACAGUUAGGAAACUAGACCCAGAGAGGCACAGUGCUUCGGCUUGAUGCUAAUAGACUGAUUUUGGAAGGCAGUUGAGCUGGAAGACACAGAUCUGGGGGCUGUCAGCCAAGGGCUGAGAAGGAUGUGAAUUAAGAAGGUGGGAAGGGAAUUGAUGGUUAAGGCCUGAGUCUUGAGAGAAACCCAUGGCCAGGAGCAGAGGAGUUAAGAUUCAUUCAGAAAUGCUCCUACAGACGUGGGAGAACAAGGAUUGUUCAGUAUAAUGGAAGCCAAAGGAGAGGGUUUUGAGGAGCAAAAGACUAGCCAACAGUAGCAAUUGUGUCAAGGUGAUCAAGGAAUAAGAUGUAAACAAUUGUUGGAUUUAUAAUAUGAUUUUAAAAGUGCAGUUUCAGUAAAGUGGUAAGAAUGGGAGGACAAUCAAAUGGCACGUGGUGUGUGUGUGUGUGUGUGGAGGUUGUGGUGUGUGUGGGGGGGGAUGUAUGUGUGGAGAGUGUGGCAUGAGAUGCAUGUGCAUAUGUAUGUUUAGGAUGAGGUGUGUGUGGAGAGUGAGAUGUGUGUGUGUAGGAUAUGAGGUGUGUGAGCUGUGUGUGUGUGUGUGUGAUGUGUGUGUAGGGUGCAGUGUUGUGGUAUAUGUGUAUGUGUACAUGGUGUGGGGGGUGCAGGGUGUGUGUGUAUGUAGGAUGCGGUGUGUGUGGAGAGUGAGAUGUGUGUGUAGAGUGCAAUGUGUAUGGGGUGUUUGUAGGGUGCGCUGUACAUGUGGGCAGUGUGUGUGUAUUCUGACUGAAUGCUGAGCACUGGUGCUUGAGCUCUCCUGCCCUGCCUGGGAGGUGGUGUGUCUGAGGUGAGGGGAAGGCUGACCCAGCUGAUGGGUCCUGUGAGGCAGAGGUUGAGGAGGGAGCCAGAGAUGAGAACCAACAACAUGCUCCAGGAAGAGGGACAGGCGCAGAAGCAAGGGGACACCAGACUGGAACAGAUGGACUCAUGCAGUUGUUCCUUGAUGGCCUGUUCACAUAUAGCAUUUGCCAUGUCCCACAAAUGCAGAAUUCUGGUGGAACCACAGUGCGUGGAAGUUCCAGGAGACUGAAAGUGGUGCAAGGUUAAGUGUGUUACAUAUGUAAUUGAGUAAUCAGGGGUGCUGACAGCCCGACAGGCCAUGCCUUCCAUUCGAACCAGAGCUUGCUUCACAUAGAAAGAAAGCAAUGGCUUUCUAAGGAAUGUGGACAAGUGAGGAACCCUAUCAUAUCCUUCUUACUCAUUUCUUCCCUGUGUUAACCAACCACUUACGCUGAAAAUGAUGACACAGAAGAAAGGGAAAGACAGGACAACCCAUAGUUCCUUUUCCUUUCAGCCCUUCCUUACUCAUCAGUAAGCUGAAGGUCAAGAGUAUUGAUGGAACAUGCACGUUAUCAAGAAGUAAAAUUAAAACAGUUGAGUUAGUUUUGUGCAGUGUUCCCGCUGCUCUGGUAAGGACAAAAUAUAUACGCAAGUAAGAGCUAGGAAAUAUGAACUGUGUAAUUUCAAUGAUUCCACGUAUGAGUCAAAUGCACUUAUUUUCAUUUACAACUAACACUACACAACAUAAAGAAUAGUAAAAUUCAUACUAAUAAUUAAAUUUUAAAUUUUUCUUUACUUAAAAUGACAUUAAAUAUCAAAUUAAAAACAUCAUGACUAGUAAAAAAAAAUUGUGGAAGAAAGAAAAAGUUUUAUGCUUUGGUGACCCUUAAUGGCCUUAUUUCCCUCUGGUUUUUGAACAAGGAGCUCGAUAUUUUCAUUUUGUACUGGGCCCUGAAAAUUAUGUUACUGGCCCUGGGUGAGAUGGUUGUUUAUAUUUGUAUGACCAGGGUCAAAAAACAGUCUUGGAACCACAGGAGCAGGGAAGAUUCACCAAUAAAUUGAUGAACACAAGUCUUCAUCAUUACCCACACACACUCACUGGCCCCUCAACAUUGGUAACAAUGGCCAUGGGUGGAGAGUUAAGAAGAUGAUAACUCCCAGAAAACUAUGCUUUUUCUGCUGAUAACUCUUCAACAUCUCACCACACCCAAUAUCUCUGCUUUUGUUAACAAACCAUGAACUGCUUCAAGUUGUCAUACCCUUUCUCACUGUCUUUCUUCUGAUUGGAACGGCCUGGUGAGAGCAGGCUGGUGGGAACACACACCUUCCGAAAGGCCCUCACCACAGCAGAUCACUGCUGGCGUCCGAGCUACUUCCUGCUUGUCCUGUUGUGUCCUUCAUCAGUGACCGCACUCUUGGAGUGCUUGCCUCUGGCUCCUGUUUUCCACCCAUUUCUCAGCCUGGUAACUCCUGGUUUCCAGUCUUAGUGGGCCCACUGCUCUGCUCCCACCUCCUGUGAUAGGGUCGGGAGAGCCGCCAACCCCACUUGACUCCUGGACCCCAUCCAGGCUGUGGUAUGUGCCAGCACCAUCUUCCCAAAGGAUGCUGCCCCUCCCUGAGGCUCAUGGUAUAGCUCUUCUCCCAUAUUCAUACCCCCGUCUUGAAGCCUGGCCCACAUAGGGUUUCCAGAAAGCCUUCCCCGAACCACUAAUAGAAACCCUACUAUACUCACACCUUCCUUAAGAGAUACUUCACAAACCCAGUUUUGUGCGGUGCAAAGGGGAUGAAAUCAGAAAUAACAUAGGUUUAAAUCCUGGUUAACUAACUGAUUUUUGAGUCUGUCAAUAAACCUCUCUGUGCCUCAAUUUCCCCAUCUACAAAAACAGGAUUGUGAUACUUACCUCAUAGGAUCAUUGUGAGGAUUAUGAGAAAUAGCACAGGCAAAGCACCUAGGUGCUGCCUGGCAUGUCCCAGCACUCAGUAAAAGCUCCCCCAACACUUUUCUCCCCCUGCUGGGGUUGGGCACCAUGCCUUAUUCAUGCCUUUAUUCCUUGCAGCACCUAGAGUAACAUCUUGUGGCUGGCAGAUGAUCAAUGCCUGUGGAUUGAAUUAAAUUAAAACUUUCCUUGUGUUACACUGUUCUCUCCAUGUCCCCAGUUGUAAUAUCCUCUUAAAAGUAUCAUCGCUUGGCUGGGCACGGUGGCUCAUGCCUGUAAUCCCAGCACUUUGGGAGGCUGAGGCGGGUGGAUUACAAGGUCAGGAGAUCGAGACCAUCCUGGCUAACACGGUGAAACCCCGUCUGUACUAAAAAUACAAAAAAAAAAAAAAAAAUUAGCUGGGCGUGGUGGUGGGCGCCUGUAGUCCCAGCUACUCGGGAGGCUGAGGCAGAAGAAUGGCAUGAACCCGGGAGGGGGAGCUUGCAGUGAGCCGAGAUCGCGCCACUGCACUCCAGCAUGGGCAACAGAGUGAGACUCCGUGUCAAAAACAAACAAAAAAAAGUAUCAUUGCUCAGCUUAUAAGUUCUACUUCAUGUUACUGCAGAUUGUGACCCCCAAAUGAAGUAACUUUUGCUGUUCCUUCUUAUUAAAAAUAAUACAUGCUCAAUAUAUAAAUAAAAAUACAAGCAAAAAGAGUAUUAAAAAGUCUGAUAAUUCUACCCACACAGACAUAGCUAGUAUUAACAUCUCUCCAUUAGCUUUUCAAUGCAAUGCAGCUAUUAUAUCUAUGUGUGUGCAUGUAUACAUGUAUGUAUAAUAUUUUGCUGAGGGAGGAAGGUGGAAAUAGCAUAUUAAGAGAGGGAUGUGGGCUUUAGAAUAGAAAAAAUUCAGCAAGCCUGUGCUCUGUGAGUGUGAAAAUAACCACUGGUGUCUACUUAGAUUCAGUAGGGUGGGAGUCUUGCUGGAAAUGCUUUUUAAAUUUCUAGUGCCAUAAUCUUUCUUUCAUCCAAAGAGGAAAAAAUGAGUCUUUACGUAUUUUUUAAUGUAGCGAUAAUUAUCAUUCAUCAGCAUACUGCACACUCUUUAUUUGGGUGUUUAUUAAGGAUCUAUUUCAUGCCAGACGCUGGAGUUGGCACUAAAAACAAGGAUACGGUUACUGCUCUCAGUGAGUUUUCAGUCUGGUGGGGGACACACAUGAGAAAUAGCACAGGCAAAGCCCCUGGGUGCUGCCUGGCAUGUCCCAGCACUCAAUAAAAGCUCCCCCCAACACUUUUCUC
rnacentral:lncRNA from 1 species